rnacentral:rRNA from 1 species
AACGAACGCUGGCGGCAUGCCUAACACAUGCAAGUCGAACGAGACCUUCGGGUCUAGUGGCGCUCGGGUGCGUAACGCGUGGGAACCUGCCCUUAGGUUCGGAAUAACUCCCCGAAAGGGGUGCUAAUACCGGAUAAUGUCUUCGGACCAAAGAUUUAUCGCCCUUGGAUGGGCCCGCGUUGGAUUAGCUAGUUGGUAGGGUAAAAGCCUACCAAGGCGACGAUCCAUAGCUGGUCUGAGAGGAUGAUCAGCCACACUGGGACUGAGACACGGCCCAGACUCCUACGGGAGGCAGCAGUGGGGAAUAUUGGAACAUGGGCGAAAGCCUGAUCCAGCAAUGCCGCGUGAGUGAUGAAGGCCUUAGGGUUGUAAAGCUCUUUUACCCGGGAUGAUAAUGACAGUACCGGGAGAAUAAGCUCCGGCUAACUCCGUG